rnacentral:lncRNA from 1 species
UUUUUCCAGUAGGAAACAUUACUGUCGGAGGUUGUCACUGUGCUGCCUCCUCUGCCAGGCUGCAAGCUCCCCGAGGCUGAGACUCUCCUGCUUGAUCCUGCUGCACCUGUAGACCUAUAGACCUCAGAACAGAGUGGUCCUCCUGGGAAAGGAGAUGCACGGCCUCACUCACUUCUCUACUUAUGUACCCUGCAGUUACGCUUCAGGCUUCUUCUGACCGUCAGACACUAUCUUAAACUCUGGGACAGGAGAGUGGAAUAAGACGUGGCCUUCCUAGGGACAGUGACAUGUGAACCGAGAAAAUAAAUCUAACAGGAAAAAGCCCGAGCAAGGUCAUGCACAGGAGCACUGGGAGCCCAGGAGGUGAACUGUCACCUGCCUGGAGAGGGGUCUUCAUAGCUGGGCAUGGGGUGUCCACCAGGCUCCUAGCUCGGGCUCCUGCUGUCCGAAAGGGUCAGGAAAAUGGCUCAAAUGGGGGAAAUUGUGGUUCAAACAAUGGAGCCUGGAGAGGUCCGUUUGCCUUCUUCCAUGGGAAUGUCGCCAUCCCGCCCGUGACCCUGUGGGCUUCGGGAUGCUGAAGGGAGAGUGGAGACUCUCGGGGUUCCUGGAGGAGACGGUGUCUGGGAGGGAGGCGGCAGUGUGACAGAGGCCAGAGAAGGCACUCAGCAAAAGGCUAUCUCAAAAGCCACUGUGGGCUUUUAAGUAAAUUCUCGAUUACAAUUACUCUAAUG